rnacentral:rRNA from 1 species
UACGGAAGGGGGCUAGCGUUGCUCGGAAUCACUGGGCGUAAAGCGCACGUAGGCGGAUUGCUAAGUCAGGGGUGAAAUCCUGGAGCUCAACUCCAGAACUGCCUUUGAUACUGGCGACCUUGAGUCCGGGGAGAGGUGAGUGGAACUGCGAGUGUAGAGGUGAAAUUCGUAGAUAUUCGCAAGAACACCAGUGGCGAAGGCGGCUCACUGGCCCGGUACUGACGCUGAGGUGCGAAAGCGUGGGGAGCAAACAGGG